rnacentral:rRNA from 1 species
UCCCUUAGUAGCGGCGAGUGAAGAGGGAAGAGCCCAUCACCGAAGCCUGCGGCAGCGAUGCUGCUAGGCAAUGUGGUGUUUGGGCCGACCAGUGGGAUCGUGACUCCACUCGAAGUCCGGCAUUGAGUACGGUAGACGGACUUGGCCCAGAGAGGGUGAGAGGCCCGUACGGGUGGAGGUUCAGACGUGUCUAGCGCGAUUCCUCAGGUCGGCUCGAGAGUAGGUCCGGCAGUGGUCAGCUGUGAGAUGGGCUGCUAAUACCGGUGUGCCUCGUGAUGUGAUGCUGGGGGUCAUAUAGUCAGUGGUGCUGUGGUAGACGAGCUACCCGACCCGUCUUGAAACACGGACCAAGGAGUUUAACAUGCAUGCGAGUCAAGGGGUCCUACGAAACCCAAGGGCGCAGUGAAAGUGAGGUCUCAUCUGCAGUGCGACGGCUUGUCUGUUGUCUCUGCGGGGAGAUGAGGUGAGAUCCUGCUGUUACUCGUACGCACGUGCUUUCGGUGCCGGGCCAAGAGCAGUAGGCGCAUCACCGGCCCGUCCCAUGAUGUGGUUGUUGGCUCGUCCUUCGGGACGGUGUCAGUGCAGCCAUCGGGGCGGAGCAUGAGCAUGCAUGUUGAGACCCGAAAGAUGGUGAACUAUGCUUGCGUAGGUUGAAGCCAGAGGAAACUCUGGUGGAGGACCGUAGCGAUUCUGACGUGCAAAUCGAUCGUCAAACGUGAGUAUAGGGGCGAAAGACUNAUCGAACCCGGGUUGUUUGAGAUUGCAGCCCAAAGUGGGUGGUAAACUCCAUCCAAGGCUAAAUACAAGCACGAGUCCGAUAGCGAACAAGUACCGUGAGGGAAAGUUGAAAAGUACUCUGAAGAGAGAGUAAACAGUACGUGAAACCGCAUGCAGGUAAGCGGGUGGCGUCAAGCUGCUAGCCCAGAGGAUUCAAUCGGCUAGGAUGUAUGUGUGCGCUCGGUGCACCUAUUGACCGGAGUAAGAUGUAGUAGUCCACUGGUAGACGGUGGUCCUUUUGGUCGCGUUCUUGUAGCGUGGCUAGGAGGGUAUGCGUGCCGGAUGGGUGCCGGAGCAUACUACUCAUCCGUAGGGUCGUCUAGCCGGUGCAUUUUCUCUGUGGUGAACACCACGACCGAUGGCAUUGUUGGUCUGCUGCGGUCAAGUCGCAACUGAUUGGUGUCAUCUGGCGCCAAUUGGAUGCGGCCACAGUCGGG